UACUAUAUAUACUAUAUAUAAUACCAUACUAACACUAUACCACUAUAGACAAAACUAUUCUAACUCUAUACCA